UGAACUGAGGCUCGUACAGCAACCCAACGGUAACGCGUGGCUCCUACGGUGGGUCGACACUCGACAGAAAGUGCUUUAACAGAGGUGUGGUUAACGGGGCAUACAGGACAGGUUACAGACGCCGGGAGAGGUAAAAAUUCACACACUAUCUCACCGUGUGGUGAUGUGAUGUACAGACAGAGACAAGUACAGUAUUUUUCUUCUUUUUCCCUUUGCACAGACGAAAUGGAGGCUCGUACUGCUAAGCAAGUUUAAGAUUUAUCGGAAAAGGAGUUGAACUCUAGAGAUGUUCUCACUGAAAACUUGAUCGAGAAAGGAGCUUUGUUAUUGGAUCAAAAUACUCACGUCUCUUAAAUCAUGAUCAGAGUCAAGGCUAGCUUUGUACUGAUCUCAUUAUGCGAUAGCAAUGGAGAAGGAUAACGCAAAUCAUGCUUCACCUAUAUCGUUGUUGGGGGCUUAGUUCUCCAUGUUCUUUGGUUGUUUGUGGUACAAUCAGUGAGGAAACUCAAAUACCAUGCACGUUUGGCUGGUCAGAAUUGCGAUCUCCAUGUAUAGCUACAGAAUGUCGGACUGAGCUUCAGUGAGAAUGUCAGUGUGUUGGAAAUUGGAACUCUAACAAUAUGUUAAGUUUCUAGGAUGGCAUGAAUAUGCAUACUACUUGGUUGUUACUACUAGUAUUCAUUUUCCACUAUCGAAGCGAUAACGGAACAAGCGGCCGAAGGCCCAAGUCCUAAAACCUUGUCCGGGGCCUCUUCGAAACAUGCAGAAAACAAACAAACUAGAGCAAAAGAAGAUUACAAGACCGCAGAGCGAGUCUGGCAACUUGCACAAUCUGAAGUUAUCAUGCAUCAAUUCUGCAGAACCAAACAUCAGGACCAGUGAACCGACCUAUGGUUAGAUGGUUAGAAGGACUGUGGUAUCCCCAGACCUUUGUCGUGUCAUCAGUCAUCACCAGGUCAAUUUCCCAUAGAAGAAUACUCCAUCGGGUCUUUAGUGUGCGCCUCAAGCGUUAGCUGAACCCUUGAUGCUCUCACCCCCACAUUUAGUCGCUAGCAUUGGAUUUUAUUUAUUUCAUUUCUUCUGUUGGAUAAUUUCCCAGGGAUUAGAGCUAGGGAUCAAGUAAUUGAAAGUUGUGCGCAUGCAAAUAUUACAACAUUAAGGCUUUUUUUUAACAAGAUUGAGAGUUUCUGUAAAGUACAGUAGCUUUCUUGUAAAGACUAAAGACAUUAUCUGAUUUGCUGAGUUGCCUACUUUAGGGGCAAGUACACGAAUGGUACCACUAAUUCUGUUAGAGGAAAGUGUUGGGUCUUAAUUUUGAAGUAAAUAAAUGGUUAAAUAUUAGCACUAGUACAUGUUUAGGACUAACAGAAGCAUGUUUGCACAUUAGCAUUAUCUAACAUGGACUCAAAGCUAUUUUCCAUGGAAGACGCUACUUCCGUGUUAAGAACCCGUAGACCCCAUGUUUACACUGAUCUCAGGUCACAAAUUUGUACAGGUUUACACCGAUUUUUCAUAAUCUCUCGAUCAUAAUUUAGGUUGUCUGAUCGCUACUUGCUUAGCUUCAACUUAGCAUACCUUUUCUUGAACUACCCAUUUGUAAGUUGCUCUGCAUUUCAGGAGGUUCUGCAUCUCUCAGGGUGAUACCAAACUUGCAUCAAUAUGUCAUGGGUCCACUCCGUCAGGUAUUUAUCCAUUUAUUUUUAUUUUUUUCUGAGAACUCUCACCCAACUUAAUUACUGCAUCAAGAUUCAUAGGUACUAGGUUUGGGCCAUACGGAUUCCCCAACCAUAUAUGGCGACCUAUAUCUAAGUUACAUGCAAACUGAACGAGAUUGUGAGCUUCAAAAUUAAAGUUUCCAUGCAUGAACGGUGUCUAUCUGAUGGUAGAUAGUGUUUGUCCCAGAGAGCGGUGUUUCUGCUCCCGGGCUCAAAUGAGCCCGGGCAAAAUAAAAAAGAAUCGUUAAAAAUAGAUUUUUUUUAAAAAAAUCCCGAUUUUUUGGAAGCAAGAUGCUCAUGUGCGUGAUGUUCGUGCAAAAAUCGGUGAAGUUUGGACACUCGAGGAGCACGCGAUAAAAAAGAUAAAUUUCGGCUUUGUGAGUAAGGUUAUUGUUCACACACUGUUUGGACCGAUUUUCUCAGAUGUCCAAACGGGGUGAAAUUUUGCAUAGACAUUACGCAUGCGAACAUCUUCCAUACAAAAAAAUUUGAGAUUUUUUUGAAUUUAUGUAGUAUAUUUUUUCUGAAUUUACUGUAGCUCGGGAGCAAAUGAGCCCAAGCAUCGAGUUGGAUUUUCGUUUGUCCCAUGACUUUUUAGCAGUGGCGUGCUUUUUUUUUUUACUUUUCUUUUUGGGGAGGCAGAAUUGUUGGGGUGUGACUGUUCGUUUAUCCAGCUGAUAUAUGGGCUGGGCCAAAAUCUUAGGGUGGGGCGUGCCCCCUACACCCUGCUGAAUCCACCAGUGUUGCAAAUUCUUGUUUCCCCUAAAAAAAUGCAAAUUCUUGCUAUAUCCAAAAUUCAGUGAAACAAGCAUCGUGCUAUUGACAUGGAAAAAACCCCGUACUUGGUUUCCUAAAUUUACGUGUACACAUUUUUCUAUUGAAGAAUGUUCAAAUAUUGAAAGUGUACCGAACUACUCAAGAGAUAAAACCAUGGGCCUACUUGUUGCUUCAGUGUUUCUAUUUUAAGCUCGGUGCACUGUUAUUUAGACGAAAUGUUUCUGAACAGGUGUAUCAUGUUUGAACGUCCUGAGUAUGUGCUUCUGUAUUCUGCACUUUUUUGAAAUUUACAAGAAAAUAAGAAGUGUGCAAAGAUCAAAGAUCACUAGGUCGAUGAGGGUAUCUUGAUUUUGCAGUUUAACUAGGUAAGUUGUGUUACUUUCUUGUCAUUCGCUGCAUGCCCAUUUCAAAGGUAAAUGUAUAUUUGAGCCCAAUCAUGUUUGGAGUUCGUGUCAAACCAUCCCAAGCAUGUAAAGACAGUAUCCGCAUUCCCUUUUUGUUGUUGCUUCGGUUACUUAAAAAAACAGGAGGAUAACCCCCCGGCCUCCACAUCAGGAUGAUGCAUACUGGCAUAUAUUAUUACGAAUGCAAAAUUCAGCUGCCGAACAACAUUGGCCCGGAAAUAAUGCGCAAGAAAAUCCAAGGUUGCAUGCCUCGCGACAGUAACUCCACCAAAUAAUCACUAACUCUAUGUUACAAGACGACAUCAAGACGGAAAAUGCACAACUCCUAGACUGCGCCUUCGGUUACUUGCUAAUGAAAUCUGCUUAAAGGCUAAAAAACUGCUUUGGACCACUGUGGCACACAUCAUCUGGUCUUUUUUCUUAACUAUCUUUGCCUUUUGCUUUUACAUACUUGUGUGGGGAUCUAUAAAUCGGUAUCUCUUCUUUCUUUUGGAGAAGCAGUUGAGACGUUGGACUCAGACUAAUGUAUUGCAUGUUGUGCGUGCUUAAACCAAGGGUCCAAAAGCACUUUCGCCGGUUAUCUUAUCUGAUUGCUACUUGCUUACCAUGGACCACGAUGCACAUCACAUGAUAGCUUGGGAAGUCCUCUGAAUGUAGUGCAGAUACACACACCCAUCCACCGCAGAACGAGUAAGAAAGAAGGAUGAGCGAACCGAUGGAUGUUCUGCGUGCUGAAUGCUGAAUACUCGUUGCUGCACUUGGAGAACCCUCAUCGUAGGGGCAUGAGGAGCUAAGGAUUAGCUAGGUCGCUCUAACUUAAUUUUGAAGGGAACAAGUCUCAUCCAGUCGUCCUCUAUACCUAGAAAAAAAAA
rnacentral:lncRNA from 1 species